rnacentral:lncRNA from 1 species
AGGGACUUGACCAUUUCUACAUAUAUAUUCCUUACACAUAUACACUAGGGGGGGGAUUAUUAUCAUGAUCAUCUCAUCUUCCUACAGAAACCUCACAAAAACAAGGACCUUCCUUGUUUCUUCAAAAAAAGGAAAUCAGACACCCAGGAGUACAUACGCACCUCACUGAGAGAAUAGGGCCAUUCAUGAAAAACACACAGAAAUCACUACACCUCAUUGGAUCCACGAACAGACACACAGUGAAGGG